CGAUCUCCUGGCUCAGGAUGAACGCUGGCGGCGUGCCUAAUACAUGCAAGUCGAGCGAACAGACGAGGAGCUUGCUCCUCUGACGUUAGCGGCGGACGGGUGAGUAACACGUGGAUAACCUACCUAUAAGACUGGGAUAACUUCGGGAAACCGGAGCUAAUACCGGAUAAUAUAUUGAACCGCAUGGUUCAAUAGUGAAAGACGGUUUUGCUGUCACUUAUAGAUGGAUCCGCGCCGCAUUAGCUAGUUGGUAAGGUAACGGCUUACCAAGGCAACGAUGCGUAGCCGACCUGAGAGGGUGAUCGGCCACACUGGAACUGAGACACGGUCCAGACUCCUACGGGAGGCAGCAGUAGGGAAUCUUCCGCAAUGGGCGAAAGCCUGACGGAGCAACGCCGCGUGAGUGAUGAAGGUCUUCGGAUCGUAAAACUCUGUUAUUAGGGAAGAACAAAUGUGUAAGUAACUGUGCACGUCUUGACGGUACCUAAUCAGAAAGCCACGGCUAACUACGUGCCAGCAGCCGCGGUAAUACGUAGGUGGCAAGCGUUAUCCGGAAUUAUUGGGCGUAAAGCGCGCGUAGGCGGUUUUUUAAGUCUGAUGUGAAAGCCCACGGCUCAACCGUGGAGGGUCAUUGGAAACUGGAAAACUUGAGUGCAGAAGAGGAAAGUGGAAUUCCAUGUGUAGCGGUGAAAUGCGCAGAGAUAUGGAGGAACACCAGUGGCGAAGGCGACUUUCUGGUCUGUAACUGACGCUGAUGUGCGAAAGCGUGGGGAUCAAACAGGAUUAGAUACCCUGGUAGUCCACGCCGUAAACGAUGAGUGCUAAGUGUUAGGGGGUUUCCGCCCCUUAGUGCUGCAGCUAACGCAUUAAGCACUCCGCCUGGGGAGUACGACCGCAAGGUUGAAACUCAAAGGAAUUGACGGGGGCCCGCACAAGCGGUGGAGCAUGUGGUUUAA
rnacentral:rRNA from 1 species